GAUCAGAAGUCCUGCUUCAGAAAAUCAGCACAGUAUGCUAGUACUGCGCUGAUCCUUCUUUAAUGGUUGAUCAGGUGCCUCCUUCUUCUUGAUUUGGACUCUUCCAAAGAUGAAAAGUAGAAGGAGGAGUUUCAGAUCUGAGACACUCUCAGAAAACUCAAGAUGGAGGGAGGAAAGAUAUGAUAACAAACAACCCUAGAAGAAGACCUUCUUCUUCUUCUCGUUUCUCUCUCUAGACACCCUAACUUGUAUCUUUUAUAUCUCCACGACCCAAAGGUAUUUCU
rnacentral:lncRNA from 1 species